rnacentral:snRNA from 1 species
AUCACUUCUCGGCCUUUUGGCUAAGAUCGAGUGUAGUAUCCGUUUAAUAUCUGAUACAUCUUCUAUCCAAGGAAAGUAUAUUAAAUGGAUUUUUGGAGCAGGGAGAUGGAAUAGGAGCUUGC